CGUUAAUCGGAUUCACUGGGCGUAAAGCGUGCGUAGGCGGCUUUUUAAGUCGGAUGUGAAAUCCCCGAGCUUAACUUGGGAAUUGCAUUCGAUACUGGGAAGCUAGAGUAUGGGAGAGGAUGGUAGAAUUCCAGGUGUAGCGGUGAAAUGCGUAGAGAUCUGGAGGAAUACCGAUGGCGAAGGCAGCCAUCUGGCCUAAUACUGACGCUGAGGUACGAAAGCAUGGGGAGCAAACAGGAUUAGAUACCCUGGUAGUCCAUGCCGUAAACGAUGUCUACUAGCCGUUGGGGCCUUUGAGGCUUUAGUGGCGCAGCUAACGCGAUAAGUAGACCGCCUGGGGAGUACGGUCGCAAGACUAAAACUCAAAUGAAUUGACGGGGGCCCGCACAAGCGGUGGAGCAUGUGGUUUAAUUCGAUGCAACGCGAAGAACCUUACCUGGCCUUGACAUACUAGAAACUUUCCAGAGAUGGAUUGGUGCCUUCGGGAAUCUAGAUACAGGUGCUGCAUGGNUGUCGCCAGCUCGUGUCGNNAGAUGUUGGGUUAAGUCCCGCAACGAGCGCAACCCUUUUCCUUACUUGCCAGCAUUUCGGAUGGGAACUUUAAGGAUACUGCCAGUGACAAACUGGAGGAAGGCGGGGACGACGUCAAGUCAUCAUGGCCCUUACGGCCAGGGCUACACACGUGCUACAAUGGUCGGUACAAAGGGUUGCUACACAGCGAUGUGAUGCUAAUCUCAAAAAGCCGAUCGUAGUCCGGAUUGGAGUCUGCAACUCGACUCCAUGAAGUCGGAAUCGCUAGUAAUCGCGGAUCAGAAUGCCGCGGUGAAUACGUUCCCGGGCCUUGUACA
rnacentral:rRNA from 1 species